ensembl:lncRNA
CCAGCCAGAAUCGCGUCUGGCCGGUGGGAAGCCGGGAACUCCAGCCUCCCGCAGGACAGGAGAAAGGAGCGAGCUGCACCAGGGCAAGCAUGGAGUAGACAAGGUUGAAUUUCAUCAAGAUUAGUAGCUUUGCAAGGGUCCUGGAGAAUGCUGCUUCAUUGUCAUGUCAAUGUCUUCUGCCUCCCACCCUGAAGUGUGUGAGCAACAACCAAGACACCAUUUGGGUGGCUUGUUUUAAUCCUACCUCUCACUGUUUAGCCUCUAAACGUUCAUUAACAGACACAGUGUUCUCCCUCUCCAGAGAAUGAAGCAUCCAAGGCACCAUCUUGGAAGCAAGGACUAGACCCUCAUCAAAACCCUUGAUCUUGGACUUCCCAGGCUCCAGAACAGUGGGAGAUAAAUUUUUGUUUCCUAUAAAAUACCCAGUCUGUAGUAUUCUAUUAUAGCAGUGCAAAAUGAACUAGACACAUGCUAACAAAUUAGCCUGUUAAAAUUUCAUGGAAUGCUGGCAGAAGACAUGAGACUCAUGGGUCAGAAACAAAGGACUUUAUAGUAUCCAGAGCUUCAUGUUGAUUUGUGUCAGUCCCAUGUGCUUCCCAAAUCUCACUGUAUGACACAAAGAGCCCAUAAUGAAUGUCUACACACAUAGUGGGUUGUGGUACAGGAGAGGACCACUAAGCUUGGAUGAGUCACUACUGGUAUAGUAAGCACAAGCAAGCCUAUUUUUUGUCAGGAGGAAGAUAUUACAUCAUUCUGUAAGAUUUCUCACUGCAAACACAACUCUUAGAAAUGGCCUAGAAAAAGAAAGGGCAAUACCUGGCAAGACUGUGCAGGGAUGCUCAGAGCCCAUAGUGGACUGCCUGUCCAAAGAAAUUCUUUGUCUUUUGCUACUUAGCCAUAAAUUGAAUAUUUAAAGAUUAAAUUACAUGUGUGAUUUUUGGAAUUGAAUAUUAGAGGAGCCCUGGGAAAAUAGUUAAAAUAGUAGUAAGAGUUACUGAUUACCUGCCAUUUUCCAGAAACUGUUUUAAAUCCUUUACAUGCUGUAUUAAUUAGAUAGGACUGCUUUAAUGAAGUACCACAAACUGGGUACAGAAAUUUAUUUUUUCAAAGUUACGAUGAAUAGAAGACUGAGAUUAAGGUGUGGACAGGAUUUGUUUCUUCUGAGGCCUCACUCCUUGCCUUGUAGAUGGCCACUUUCUUGUGUCCUCAGUCUUCCCUCUAUGUGUGCACAUCCCUGGUGUCUAUUUUUGUGUCCAAAUUUCCUCUUAUAAGGACCCCAGUCAGACUGGAUUAGGGCCCACCCCAAUGGCCUCAUUUUAAUUACCUCUUUAAGGGCCCUAUCUCCAAAUACAGUCACAUUCUGAGAUACUGGGAGUUAGGGCUUUAAUAUAUUAAUUUAAGGGGACACAAACCCAUAAUACAUAUAUUCUCUCAAUCUUUGCAACAUCCAUUUUCUCCGUUUUAUAGAUGAGGAAAUAGCCUUAGUAUGGUUAAGAAACUGGCCCAAUAUCUCACAGCUGGUAGGAGGCAGCACUGGGAUUUGGACCAAAAUUUUAUUGGCUCUGAAGUCUGUGUCCCUAAGCAUUAAUUAUGACAUGAAACGUUUUUUUCUGUAAGGUAACAACAAAACAAGAAGAAAAGAGAAUGCCUGGUUUAUUUAUAGGGCUAAUUUAAAUGUGUUAGAAAUGUACCUUGAUUAUCUUCAUGCUUGGGAAUGGCAAAAUAAUAUCAUUUUGUAUUGUGCUAAAUAAUGAAUUUUUUUGCUUUAGUGGUUGUUUAAAUGUGACCACAUGAAAACCUUGCACAGGCAAUCAUCUCAGUUAUAUAUAUAGCCUUUGUUCUAUGUUGGAAUAAUAACAAUGUUGAAUGUUAAACUGUUUUUAAAAAUAAAAUGUAUGAUUUUACCUAGGUAGAUACUGGUACUUUUAUUUUCCCUCUGUAUAACAUUAAAACUUAUUUUUGUUAAAAUAUU